UUAGUCAAAGCCAAAGUAGAGGCGUGUCAUUGUUAAUGAUAGAAUUGAAAAAAUUUCUGACUAAG
rnacentral:tRNA from 1 species